CCUACGGGGGGCAGCAGUGAGGAAUAUUGGUCAAUGGGCGGGAGCCUGAACCAGCAAAGUCGCGUGAGGGAAGAAGGUACUGAGUAUUGUAAACCUCUUUUGCCAGGGGACAAAGGCGGCCGCGGGUGGCCGUAAGAGGGUACCUGGAGAAAAAGCAUCGGCUAACUCCGUGCCAGCAGCCGAGGUAAUACGGAGGAUGGGAGGGGUAUCCGGUUUUAUUGGGUUUAAGGGGUGCGCAGGCGGCGUGUCAAGUCAGCGGUAAAGUGUCGGGGUUCAACCCCGGCCGGCCGUUGAAACUGGCGUGCUCGAGUUGGAGAGAAGAAUGCGGAAUUCGUGGUGUAGCGGUGAAAUGCAUAGAUAUCACGAAGAACCCCGAUUGCGAAGGCAGCAUACCGGCUCCACACUGACGCUGAGGUACGAAAGCGUGGGUAUCGAACAGGAUUAGAUACCCUAGUAGUC
rnacentral:rRNA from 1 species